rnacentral:rRNA from 1 species
UUGGAGGGCAAGUCUGGUGCCAGCAGCCGCGGUAAUUCCAGCUCCAAUAGCGUAUAUUAAAGUUGUUGCAGUUAAAAAGCUCGUAGUUGAAUUUCGGGGUCAGCAGGUUGGUCGUGCCAAUGGUAUGAACUGGCCUUGCUGAUUCCUCCCUCUUGAUGAGCCGUAAUGCCAUUAAUUUGGUGUUGCGGGGAAUCAGGACUGUUACUUUGAAAAAAUUAGAGUGUUUAAAGCAGGCAAGCGCUUGAAUACAUUAGCAUGGAAUAAUGAAAUAGGACGUUUGAUCCUAUUUUGUUGGUUUCUAGGAUUGACGUAAUGAUUAAUAGGGAUAGUUGGGGGCAUUAGUAUUCAAUUGUCAGAGGUGAAAUUCUUGGGUUUAUUGAAGACUGACUACUGCGAAAGCAUUUGCCAAGGAUGUUUUCAUUAAUCAAGAACGAAAGUUAGGGGAUCGAAGACGAUCAGAUACCGUCGUAGUCUUAACCAUAAACUAUGCCGACUAGGGAUCGGAUGAUGUUAAUUUUUUAAUGACUCAUUCGGCACCUUACGGGAAAC